CAUYUCAAAUAGUCGUCCCCAGGCAGCAAAGCGCAAGAGCACACAUGCUUUUGGGACGAGCGAACAUCACAGAGCACGAAGUUUGACCAAACCGGACUCCUGUAACGGAUAAAGACUUGUCACCUCUCAAGAACUCAGCCAACUUUACCUCUGCACUGUUUUGAGAAAAGAAGUGUGCUGUUCCAUGCGGUUGCAUCCAUAGAACGACCCUAACCUCCUGCUCCCAGGAGUCCGCAUGAUCCUAAAUCUAUCUGCUGACCGCGUCUGUCCGAGGCGUGUAAUAGAUUUUGAGGCUCGUCCGGGAUUGUCGCCACCUGCUGGAGGUAUCUGAUCCAGAGAUUUAUGAACCAGGGACAGCAUGACGCUUGACCAGAGCGAGAGGGCUACAAGUGGGUGACUUAGCAGCGGCAGGUGACCAGCAUGAAAGGGGAUCCUGACUGAGAGGAGUGCAGCACUAUGUACCUUAAGUGUUUGGAAGCGUGCAUCAUGUCCAAUAACAAAAAGGGUCUGGGCCAUUAAGAAAAGGUUGCUUACACUGGCAUCUGAUUUAAGUUUUCCAGUUGAAAGUCUUGAUAUGGUACCAGAGCUAGACUCAGCUAACUUAAACAAGUCUAAUGAGGAAGGUUGUUUUGACAGUGUGUGAAUUCAUGUGUUGCAAGACCCUGCUUGAGCUACAGGAUAGGGGUAUGGCUCAAUUACUGUUUAUAAAGGAUGCUAUUGACGAGGUUAUCCAAGGAUGUGAAGGUAGUCCAGUGACCAGAUUUAUCCGCUAAUGUAGCUACUGCUGAUACUGAAAUACAAGAGUAUCAGUGGAUUUUGACCAGUUAUAAGAAGCUAGGCAGAAAACUCCUUCAGUGUAAAGUAACACUUGCCACACCCACACCAGACAAACCACCUACUGUAAAGGAACUUAGCAGCUUGUCUAAAAUCCUGAGCACAGACCAUGUAGCACACCUCACAGCUGAUGGCAUGGUCGCCAUCAGAGACCUACCAUAUCUGCAGCGCAAGAUGUGGGGGGGUCAAAUAGGUGACAACACUUCUGACAUUAGUUACAACAGCAUAUAUAAACAAAUAAGAGGGGUUAAAAUAAAAACACAGUGAAGCUGAAGUCAUCACAGGCAUCUUCCGCAUCAUCAAACCAGAACUUUAAAUGCAUGCUAAUAAAUAAGAAUGAAAGGAUUGUUACUGAGCUGAAACAUUUGUUUCGGUCUCACUUAGGAGAAAGGAGCAGCACGUCGAGGUAAGGAUGGACCGCCUGGGCAACGGUGAUCCAGAUCUGUCAAUACAGGUGCCGUUCCUGGUUAGUCUCAUGACACUAGAGCAGCCGUUCCCAAACUAGGUGAGGCCGCCUUAUGUGAAAAUGGGGUCGUGACAGAAUUAAGACCCCUCCUCUCUGAUUAUUCUAUCAGAUAAAGCACUACUGAGGCAUGUAAUCAAAAUAACAAGCAAUGAAAGUGAGAGACAGGGUAGGUUGGGCCAAACCUCCCAUCACAAGACAACACACCCACAGUGCCCAGCUUGAAGUGGAUGAAGUCAAAGUUCUCCAGUGGAAUGGACUAAAGCACCCWUGGGAGACUGAUUGACACUUUAGCCAGUCCGCCUGUCUUAGCCUGCCUCAACUUUGACUUGCCUUCACGCGCCACACUGAUGCCUCUGAGAAGGGGCUUGCUGCUAAAAGAAACUGAUGCAUGAAUGGGGAAAACUACGCAUUGACAAUGGUCUCCUGUACCGGAGAACCAGUCAAAGACAUGAGCUAGUCUUACCAGUCCUGUACAAGCAAAUGGUCUUGAAACAACAUGUUAAUGAUGACAUGGUUCAUGUUGGAAGAGAGAUAUUGGCGCUGUAUCAGGCAAAAGAAGCCAGCCACACAUGUAGGAGCACCAACUGGCAAUAUCAACCACAAGUUCACCACUAGAGCUAGUCUCUAUCGACUACAUGCAUCUGGAGGCCAGCAAAGGUGGCUUUGAUUACAUCCUGGUAGUCAUCAACCAUUUCACAAGAUUCGCACAAGCGUAUCCGACCAAGAACAAAUCCGGAAGAACAGUAGCUGAAAAGAUAUUCAAUGACUUGAUCCCAAGGUUCGGACACCACUCCCAAGUUGCACCACGAUCAAGGUUGAGAGUUUGAAAACAAGUUCUUCAAAACACUGCAGCAAAUGACUGGAGUGGGUCACUCAAGGACAUCUCCCUUUCACCCUCAGGGCAAACCGGCUGAAAUAUUCAAUAGGACCCUACUUCAGAUGCUGAGAACGCAAACCGGCGACAGUCCUUGUACGAAACCUAAGUGAGAGAGGUGGUCCUGGAAAGUUAAGGUCAUACUGGGAAAAGACUAUACGUAGUGAAAGAGCAAUUGAGUUACAAUCCAGUGUACAAACUCUGUCCAAAGAUGGGUGGGAACAAGACCUGUAUCUUCCACCGCAAUCUCCUGCACCUAGUCAAUGACUUACCUGCAGACUUACCGCCACAGCCUGCACAGACAAACCCACCUAAAGAGAAAAGGAAGAGCUGCCCCAAAACAAUGAUACAAGACUCAGAUGACGAAAGCACAGGAGCACAUACCUGGCUGAUAAUACUUGUAAGAAAAGAGCAAAGAACAGACAAUGUGAGACUUAUCUGUGAUACUCCGAGGAACCCAGCACGUGUAGGACCCACACAAGACGCUGUACCUACCAGAGUUAUUGCACCUGAAAGAGAAAUCCAAAGACCAGAAGAGUCAGAAGGAGUAGAACAAGAAGAAGAAUACUUACCCGCUGAACCAGCACGGCCAGAGACCGAGAUGGAUAUGGACGAAGAAUACCUGUACGAAGAACACCUGUACAAGAGGAAAGACUCAUAGUAAACCCCCCACUAGUUGACACAGGUUGGACAGGCUAGGAGGUCCACACGUGAGAGAAGGCCUGCACAGAUGCUUCUUAGCACACGCUAGGUCAGCCAUCCUUCCAGCCACACACUGCAAUCAACACUGUAGAGGUUUAUGGGGUGCCACCUAUGACAGUCUGGGGAAUUCCAACAUACGACAUUCCACAGCCUUACCAAACACUACCCUACCCCACACUAGUGCCUUACUGUAUUAAUAGGAAAGAAUCUAAAGUGAAGCACUUAUACAUACCAAUGACAUGUAAAUAAGGGUUAAAUGUCAGGAGACAUUGUCUGUUUGUCAGGGAGUGUGUUACGCACAUUUUUUUACCCCCUUUUUUCUCCCCAAUUURGUGGUAUCCAAUUAUUAGUAGUUACUGUCUUGUCUCA